UAACCUAAGAGUUUGAUCCUGGCUCAGAACGAACGCUGGCGGCAUGCCUAACACAUGCAAGUCGAACGCUAUCUUGUAUAGAGUGGCGCACGGGUGAGUAACGCGUGGGAACCUACCUUUCUCUGCGGGACAACGGCUGGAAACGGCCGCUAAUACCGCAUACGCCCUACGGGGGAAAGGUCAGCCGGAGAAAGAGGGGCCCGCGUUAGAUUAGCUAGUUGGUGGGGUAAUGGCCUACCAAGGCGACGAUCUAUAGCUGGUCUGAGAGGAUGAUCAGCCACACUGGGACUGAGACACGGCCCAGACUCCUACGGGAGGCAGCAGUGG
rnacentral:rRNA from 1 species